rnacentral:lncRNA from 1 species
UUAAUUUGACGAAUUUGCCUUUAUUUGAGAUUACAGAUAGCCCACACGAUCUCAAAUGCGGAGUUUGCGCCUCAUAUUAUGUAGUUACUGUUCAUCAUAUUCAAAAUCACUGUCCAUCGUGUACAAGCUCGUGAUCACUCAGCCAAAGCUCCUCUGGCACUCGUUCGUUGUCAUCCACUGUCGCCUGGAUCUCUGACGGCGUUUUGUCAACCCCUGUUCAACCACUCGCGAGGUGGCCAUUUCUUGCUCUCAAAUCUGAGAUUUCAAUUCUAUGCAAGUGUCUUAGGAGGGGUGAGUGUCUUGGAGAUGAUAAUUUAGCUUCGGCAAGCUUUGAAGCCACAUAUGGCCAUGGCGCUAGCUUCAAGGUCAGAUUUGGCUUUGAAGCUCACGACUGCCGUAGCCGCU